GCUAGUCAUGGCAGCUGCGGCGGCGGACACUUACACCAACCAUACAGUAGGCGGCGACGCCGGCUGGUUCUUCGACUCCACCACCAAUAAGACUUCCCUUGGGCUGCUAAUACGACAUUCAAUCUCGGAGACUAUCUCAGUUUCGUGAAUUUCUGGAAUUUUGAUGUGAUUAGGUGGAUUGCAGUUUCGAGAUUUUAAUUGCUUAAGACGAUUCAGUUGUGGAUGAUUUUUGAGUUUUUUCUUGUUAAUUGUUGACUGCAACUAGUAGAGAUUUUAUGCUGAAUGGAUUCCUUUGAUUGCCAGAAUGUGUAUAUUGAUGAUUUAUAUUUA